UCUCCCCUGCUAACCAUUUUCCCUUAGCCCCUAGGUAAUUGGGAGACUUCAGCUUCCAGAAUACAUCAUCUCUUACCUAAACAAGAAACCUAUUACUUAAAUUUGAAAUUAAGACUUUUGCCAGUAUAUUGGCUUAUGCAUUUGUGUCAGCAUUUUGGGAGAGGCACACAAAUAAGAAGAAAGCAGACCAGAGAAUUCUGAGCAUGCUCAUCAUUCAACAGUUAUGUCAGGUACUGGGCCACUUCUGAAAUAGAAGUAGAAAUGCAUUUUCAAUAAAUGAAAUGGGCCCCUCCAUCUGUCUGCAGCCUGUGAUUGUCAGACAGUGUUUGCUAUUGGCUUACAGAAAUUUCCAGACCUCAUUUCAUGAAACUAAAUGAUACACAUGACUAAGAAAAAUAUUCAUGCAUCUUCAAUUUAGUUUCUGAGGCUGCAAGUGAGGCAUAAAUUCAGAAAUGGACAGGGAGAAUUAUGAAAAAGUAAGGCAUGCACAACACAAUGAGAUGCAUUCAAUAAUCAAGCAGGUGUUACAUUUUUUUAAAAAAGACAUAAAAAUACGCUGCUUCGUUGGUGCAACAAGGGACCAGUGCCUGGCAAUCAGGGUCUAGAACAUCAGGACAAGCUGCAAAGUAAGAUUCCUACAACUGCUGCGUGAUACAGUGGUUUUAGGCAUCUGUGUUCCUGGUACUCUGCCCUGUCCCCCUCACAGGACAGCGAGCCUUCCUCUGCUGCGUGAUACAGUGGUUUUAGGCAUCUGUGUUCCUGGUACUCUGCCCUGUCCCCCUCACAGGACAGCGAGCCUUCCUCUGCUGUCAGUAUGGACUGAUUCUGAAUCAGGCUGCCGGCUUCUCCAGAGGAGUUGCUCUUGGCUGAUGAGAGCCACUCCGCCAGCAGGUUCACCACACCCCCCAAACUCAAAAACCAGGUGACCGAAGGACGUGGGGAAAACUGGAUAUAAAUCAUCAAGCCCUAGCCUCCAAGGGGACCGCCUGGGAUUCUAUCCACGGCAUGGAGUUCCUCUGGAAUCAGGCUGACACUGGGCUCCGGCUGAGAGCACAUCCCUAUCCAGCUCCUUUCUCUGCCAUUUCCCUCACCCCUCACCGGCUGAGAACACACCCUCAAUCAAGCACAAGCCCAUGAAUCCCCAUGUCUGACUUCUGGGCAACCCCACUUAAAACCAAGAUAUAAAUAUCAUUAAAAAUUAACCAGCCUUUUCACUGUCAGCCAGGUGUCAACCACAGGUGGUACAGACAGCAGUUAGUCCUAAUGCGUAGAAGAAAGCAGCUUAUUAAUGAUUAAGAGACUAACCUUUGGGGCCCAGCAUCCUGGGGCCCAAAUCAUAACUCUGACCCAUACCAGGUGAGCGAUCUCAGCUAAAUUACAUAAACUCUCCAAGCUCCAACUCCUCCUGUGAUAAAUACUGAAAAUAAUAUCCGCACCUUAGCACUGCUGAGGAAAUAAAAAUGAGGUGACGUUUAUCUGAAGAGCUUAGUAUACAGAGUGAUGACGGCACUGUGGACACGGUCACCUCUAUCUUACGACAAACCAGGUCAUUCAAGGUACACCAAAGAAGCACAACGCCGAGUUUCCAAUGCCUGGGAAAGUUUUCCUUGGAGGAGGAGGAAUCCAGGAGUGAGGUAAGCAGUGUGGGAGGGAAAAGUAAGCAGAAGAUGGCUUAAAUUCCUGAAGAGUCUAAGCCUGAAAGGGACCGCGGGGGUGAUCCAGCCUCCACUUCUCCCUGAUUCUCCAAACGCACCGAGAAGAAAAUUGAGGUCCGACGAGGUUAAGUGGUAUGUUCAAGGUUUGCUAUUUACAGACAUGUAAGAAGCUCGACAUCAGAAGCUUGCUCCGUUGGUGUGUAGUAGAAAAUUAGAACUGCUGGAAUGGUGGGGGGUAAGGGCAGGGGACAGGAUCAGGAUUAAUCUUGUUUUUGUAGCGCCAUCUGGGAGAAAACGCGAGUGUCUGCCCAGGUUUGAAAGUCCGAGUUUUCUGCUUCUUCCUGGGUGUGCAGACAAUCUCUACUUCCCAGCCUCCCUGCAGGUGGUUGAGGCCAGGUGAUCUAGUGGGUGACCACUGGAAUGUGGGCAGAGAGGAGGCAUGUUGCUUCCUAGCAUGGCCCACACAAAUCGCCUCUGCAUCAUUCUCCUUGCUCUCUUCCCUGCUGUCCCUAGAGGCGUGGGCUGCAGAUGCAGGCACCACAGGCAGAACAUCGGGGUUCCUGGACGGCAGCACGACACCCAGCCACCAUGGCCCCUGUGCUGGAAGAUGCCAUGACAAAAAUAAGAAGUUCGCGCAUCUCCUGCUAAUGGAAACCUCAUCCAAUAAUCUCCUCUCAUCUAAUACUGAUAAAGACAUCAAAUGCUCCACACGGCACAGAGGGAAUUUCAAUCUGAGACCAUAGGUGCUGCUCAGAAAUGAAGGCUGAGGCGAGAAAUGCACCAGAGGGUCAUUGGCGCAAAAGGACUCAAGACGUGCGACGUCCAACUGGGUAACACUGGCCCCCUGAGCUCCUGAAUGGUGGCUGCUGCAGAUCCACGUGUGCUCGGAGACUGAAAUACACGCGAGAUUGGGAAGGCCAGCUACAAUUUACAACAAGAAAUGGAUCAGGGGAGUUCCCAUCUUGGUCCAGCGCUAACGAACCCAACUAGUAUCCCUGAGGCUGAGGGUUCAAUCCCUGGACACACUCCGGGGGUUGGGGAUCUGGCAUUGCCAUGAGCUGU